rnacentral:rRNA from 1 species
UGUUUCUUGUUUCACGGUGUUACGGGUGAUUAAUGCCUAGGAAUCUGCCUGGUAGUGGGGGAUAACGUUCGGAAACGAACGCUAAUACCGCAUACGUCCUACGGGAGAAAGCAGGGGACCUUCGGGCCUUGCGCUAUCAGAUGAGCCUAGGUCGGAUUAGCUAGUUGGUGAGGUAAUGGCUCACCAAGGCUACGAUCCGUAACUGGUCUGAGAGGAUGAUCAGUCACACUGGAACUGAGACACGGUCCAGACUCCUACGGGAGGCAGCAGUGGGGAAUAUUGGACAAUGGGCGAAAGCCUGAUCCAGCCAUGCCGCGUGUGUGAAGAAGGUCUUCGGAUUGUAAAGCACUUUAAGUUGGGAGGAAGGGCAUUAACCUAAUACGUUAGUGUUUUGACGUUACCGACAGAAUAAGCACCGGCUAACUCCGUGCCAGCAGCCGCGGUAAUACGAAGGGUGCAAGCGUUAAUCGGAAUUACUGGGCGUAAAGCGCGCGUAGGUGGUUCGUUAAGUUGAAUGUGAAAGCCCCGGGCUCAACCUGGGAACUGCAUCCAAAACUGGCGAGCUAGAGUACGGUAGAGG